GACGAACGCUGGCGGCGUGCUUAACACAUGCAAGUCGAACGGAAAGGCCCUGCUUUUGUGGGGUGCUCGAGUGGCGAACGGGUGAGUAACACGUGAGUAACCUGCCCUUGACUUUGGGAUAACUUCAGGAAACUGGGGCUAAUACCGGAUAGGAGCUCCUGCUGCAUGGUGGGGGUUGGAAAGUUUCGGCGGUUGGGGAUGGACUCGCGGCUUAUCAGCUUGUUGGUGGGGUAGUGGCUUACCAAGGCUUUGACGGGUAGCCAGCCUGAGAGGGUGACCGGCCACAUUGGGACUGAGAUACGGCCCAAACUCCUACGGGAGGCAGCAGUGGGGAAGAUUGCACAAUGGGCGGAAGCCUGAUGCAGCAACGCCGCGUGCGGGAUGACGGCCUUCGGGUUGUAAACCGCUUUCGCCUGUGACGAAGCGUGAGUGACGGUAAUGGGUAAAGAAGCACCGGCUAACUACGUG
rnacentral:rRNA from 1 species